GCACCGUCACCGUGCAGCCGUCGCUCGCCGUCAAGAGGCUGCAGGCCGUCGUCGCCGACCGCGUCGGCGUCGCGCCCAACCAGAUCUCCGCCUCGCUCGCGCGCCCUCGCCGCGCGCGCCGCGUGCCCCUCGAGGAGGGCACGGACCUCGCCGCCGCCGUCGCGCGAGAGGGCUCCGGAUGCUACGUCCUCGCGGGCCUCCGACGCGCCCGCCGCGAGCGCCGGGGCGGCCGCGCCCGCCGGGACAAGAAGGCCGCAGCCGCUGCGGCGUCGUCCCCGCCGGAGAAGACCAUCCUGAAGCGGCUCCCGCCCACGGAUCUGGCGUCCCUGGUGGUCGCGGCCGCGCCCCCCGCGGUGUUCGGCGGCUGGGACUAUGAGGCGCAGCUGCGGGAGCUGCAGCGGCAGCGCGAC
rnacentral:lncRNA from 1 species